AUCACACAAUAGAAUUCAUCAUAUUAGUCUCCAAAUUCAAAAUAGUGAACAAAGUUCAAACAUUAGCCAAGUUUAGGUCUCGAGACAUUAGCAAAGCUCAUCAUAUUAGCCGAGUUUGUCGUCACAUUACAAAGUCAAUAUCGAUCAUCUAGACUACCAUCACAUAGAAGAGAGUUGCGGUCAUGAUGAGCAUCACAUAGAAACUGGUCUUCAUCCGGUUCCUCCUCCGCUCCCUCCUCUCUCCAGCUAUAUAGCGUGCGUAUCUAGCUUCCGCCUCCACCCUAGUGGUGUACCCUAACUGUUACCGCUGAAAUGGUGAACCUGUCUACGACACUCCUCCCAGUCGUCGUAGACUCCGGGAACCUUACCCUUGUACACGACAUACGACGAUAUCUCUAUGCACUAGACAAACAAAACGUUAGUAGCAAUUCACAGAUAAUAUACAAGAAAUAUAUAAGUAUGCAACAAAAGGAUCGGAAGAGAAAAGCAACACAUUAAUAGCACGAUUCAUGGUCCUACUAAUAAAUAGCAUCGAUUACAUAUAAGUUGAACGACUGUCCAAACUAAAGAUACAUACAAGUUCAUUAAAGUUUAAUUACAACAUGAGCUAAUCGAUAUUUCAGAACUACAUAGCAUCAAUACUUUUGACUCAACUCAGGGAUCGGAGCGUUGAUGAAGCCAGCGUCUUUCGUGAUGGUCAUGAAAUCGCGAUCGUUGUCAGCCUGCAUUUGUAGCGUUGUUUCUAUUUCACUAUUGAACGGUUGAUAUUUGAGGUAGAACUGCCCCGAGGUACGAAGGACAUCUUGAUAGAUGAUUACCGCAAACUCCGACUGGAUGCAAAAGAAUUCUUGUCUGAUGUCCUCGUCCUGGAUUGCCGACAAGCAUGCGGCCCAAUCUUUGAGAUUAUUUGGUAGCAGAAGGUGAUUAUGGUCCCGUACGAUCGCUCGCAUGUGAUGGAGGGCGUAGUAGGCAUCCUUCUGACUGCCAGGUGGCUGCUUGACGCAGGGGAACGUCGUUACAUGGGUGAACACAUUCUUGUCGUACCUACAAAUUGGCCUCCUGAAGGUGCCUCCAGAUUUGGCAUAGCCGGGGAGAGCAUCAUCAAGAACUUUCUUCAUAUUUGUGUAGUCUUUCUUCGACUGACGGUCCGAGUCGAAAUACGUGGCCAUGGAAUAUUUCAGGCUUAAGAAGCUGAGUUUGCAAUGUGUGUCACUGCACAAAACACAGAAUGUUAGAAAAAAAGAACGAUCGAAAUGUAAGAAAUCAUAUGUUAUGGCGCGGUGAGGGGAUGACUUACUCGGAAAAGUAAGGCACGAGGAAGUUAUCCUUAUCUGGGUUCGCCAGAAUGAUGCAUUCGAGGUAUGAACUCGCGACUUGUCGGUCCCCAGCGCUGCCCAAGAUCUUGGCACGCAUGUAGAAGGGGUCGACUAUCACGAUGUCUGGGGUCUUGUCUCUAAUGAUCUGCAUCUCCAUACUGAGCGAAAAUAGCCGAAUGAAGGUGUAGUGCAGCAGAUGAAGGUUAACCAUAGCGAAGAUGUCAUCAAACCGCAGGACGAUCAUAUGCCCGAUGGUGCUAUCGACAAAGCCCUUGCCCUCUGGCACCUUGGCCACAAAAACGGGGUAUGCCAUAACAUUCUCGGAGAUACGCCGCUUCUCCAUAGAAAGAACACUGUCAUGCAGACUCCGCAUAGCACCGGUUGCAGCAUUGAGCGGAUUAGUUGGUAGCAUCGGCCUACCCGCCACAUGCACCCUCCUCGAGAUAUCCUUAGGUACUGGUGGCCCGUCCUGAGCACGGAUCAUACUCGGUGCCAGCUGGCUCGCACCCUUGUUAUUUUUUCUUUUCCGUCCCUUCUGCUUCUUCUGCUGUAAUGGGAUCGAGUUCUGCUCAGAGACCACCUUCUUGAGUGUGUUUGGGCUGAUAAUAUUUCGCACCUCGACUAUUUGAGUCUCGGUGAAGGCGGCGGCUGGAGGCAUCUCCUGAGAACUGAACGCCAGACGACGCCUAUUGCAAUUGGGUUUCUCCGCGGUACCAGCUAGAUCGCGAUUGUUUUUUGCAGGGUUGGAUUCUUGAGAAGGAGGCCCCAAGAAUUUGUCACCGUACCCAUGUUCGUUGAAGUACUUAUCGACGUUGGUAAAUGUACCGUCGUCAUCGUCUAGAUCCUGUGUCAUAUGCAUGUCCGGAUCAGCUGACGGCGGUAGCGUUGCGGCAGUCUCGCCAUGGCUUGGCGUCGGCAUGACUGGUGGUGUUGUCUGUGGGGUGGUGUCCCCCGCCCCCAAACGAAUCUGGCUCUUCGGCCAAAGCAUGGACCAGCCUAAGCAGGCGCUGACGGCCAUCACAUCAUCUUCGUCGGCCCUAGGGGGUCGAUACGGAGGUAACAAGUCGUCGCAGCCCCACAGCACCCGAACCAGUUGAACCCUAUACACGAUGGGUGGCAUCAGAUUACCGUGGAACACGGGGUUGCCCGGUUCAAUGAUUCUGGCCUUGGCGACAUCGAUCAACUCGCCAUCCACGAAUUGCAAGAGAGUGCAUGGAAGGUUGGCGGCGCCCUGCGAAAACAUGUAGGGCGUCAGGGAUGCCCAGUCAAAGGCAAGGAGAUGAAGUCAUUGUCCGAGGCUGAGUUACCGUGAUGGCGUCGAGCUUGGCUAAUGUUGAGGCACCACCAACGGCGGGCACGCAAGUGACGGAGGGGCCGCUUGCUGCCGAGGUGCCGGCCGGCGUAUUCUUCCCACACCCGGGUGCAUUAAGCUACAAUGUCGGUGCCGCCGCCGGAGACACCAAUGCCGCCUCCGCCGGAGACACCAAUGGCGCCGGCGCGUUGUGCGAGUUGCUGCCCGUGAAGCUGGGAAUCGGGGGCGGCCCCUAUUGGCCGCCCGCAAUCCACCCCCGCAGCCCCUCAAGCAAGGUAGGCAUAAUGGCGGUGAUCGUCGCUCCCAUUUGGUCUCGCACUUGAUCUUCGACUAUCUCCGGAAUCCGCGCCACUUGUGCCUUGAGUUCUUGAACCUCGCGCUCCUGGCUUUCCGAGCUGGUCUUUCUCUCCUUUCGCCUAGCAGUAUAGUAUUCCGACCAUUUCGUGGACAAGCCUUUGUCGGCCACACGACCAGCUGACGACGGCUUACUGAACUUAUCCUUGUGUUUCAUUACGUUCAACGCCCUAUUUAAAGUGGUGUCCCAAGGGCCAGACGGGGAGCUCUAAGACGACCCCGCGCUACUGCUUGCAGUUUCCUGUGGAAGGAACGUGAACCAUUUAUAAAUUUGGCUUCAUUAAUUAGAAUGCAACCAUAUGGAGCUAAUUACGCGGGGGUGUAUUCCUUACCAGAACAAGCUCAAGCGCCUUGGUCUUCAGAUCCGUGGUAAGCUCCUUUGUUACUGGGUCCACCUUGUACCGGGCCCUGACAUAGUUCCUGGUCUGCUUGUCACAGUAUUUAUCGAAGAGGGGCGGUAGGCCUUGCUCGGCACGCUCCGCGUCCUCCUUGUCCCAUAUAGGUUCCGCCACUCUGUAAUCGCCGGGACCGAGUUUGUGGACCCCUAAGUUCAAGUCCCACAUAUCUUUCCCACACUGACUUGAUUCCACGGAUGCGUUGCUCUCGCACUUGAUCUUGAACUCCAGGUAGUCAGCUUCGCUGAUCGAAGGAUAUGUCUCCUUGAUCUUUUCGUAACUAUCACCACUUAGAAUCCUUCUCUUCACCGCGGCUCUCCAAGUAGCCAAGGUCGUGCUCAUCUUCGUGAGGGCGGCACUGUUCACUUUAUUCCUUGAGAGGCGUGUGUUUGUGAAGUCACCGAGGAACUUGUACCGUUCGUGCAGAUUCGUGAAGAGGAGGUUGCGCAAAUUCCCUCGGCCAUGAUGCCUUAGGUUCUCGGUGUUGAUCGAGACGGUGCUCCGGAGAAUGCACCCGAGUUGUCCCGUGUACCCACUGACUAAUUCUUUGGGCGCCGUUGGUUUCCCACUAGAGGACACUUGAGUAAAUUCCUCCUUGACGGUGCCGAGCACGUUCGGGCGCCGGUCCUUCUGUUGCAUCUUCGGUUGGCUGCCAUCUGUGAGUUCACUGCCAUCAUCAGUGGUGGCAUCCCCAGCGGCACCAUCGGUGGUGUCAUCCCCGACGCCACUAGGGGUUGUGUAGUCAGGAUCGGUGUCUUGCAUGGCGUCCUCAUAGCGGUGAGGUUCUUCCUCCAUCUCCUAGGUCAGCUCCCGGAAUAGCUUGCCCGAACCGCCGGCCUCAUCGUUGUCGGCCAUGUUCGCUCUAAAUAGGAAAAAAGGCUACUAGAGUUAUUGGAUGAGAUCAGGGUAGUAUCUAUUCUUCUAUCACAUAUAUUUUCACAUUACAGGUUAUAAACACCCCUUUACCCAAAAGAUUGUUCCAAGUGCACUAUUGCUAUCCUACUAAGUGCACUAUUGCAGGUUAUAUAUUUUCUAUCCUACUAAGUGCACUAUUGCUAAAGCUGGAGGGUCACACAUUCAUAAUAGCUUUAGCAAGUAGCAGUGGAAUAAUGCAACAGUGUUGCUGUGUUCCUAAGCUGAAUGUGUGUGAGGGCACUACAGUAGUCUCCUUAGGUCUUUCACUGGAAUAUACUGUAUCGAUCACUCUAACCUGAAAGCUGAGUGGGUGAGUGGGGUUCAUGCUAGGUUCCAUAAAGUUCCUGCUUUUAUUUGACAACUAAUAUGGGGUUCGUACUUUUUCUCUCUUAAACCUCCAUGAAAACAAUGUGCUUGCCACAUAUUGUGGUAUUUCACUAAUGGAAGGUGCCAUCCUUGCAUUUGCAUACAUGUGUGGUGUACACCUUUGUGGUAGCUGGGCGUUUAAAAUAGAUUGCACAUUGAAAGAAGUCUUUGAAAUGGUUGGGUGAUCAUUAGGCACCCCACUAGUACCUUUAGUUCAAAAUUUCUUUCUUCUUUUACUUGAACAACCUCAAGUGCCAAAAGCAAAGGGAAAUGCUAGCUGCUUGCUUAGCUGUAAGUUGUGUAAAUCAUGCAUGCCUAGUGUUGAAGUUCAUCCAAGUACUUGCAUUUGGUUGAGGAUUGCAAGCAUCGGUUACUUAUUUCUUUAAUUUAUAACAGCUGUCAAAGUUUACAGGUGAUUACACAUAACAGACAAAGUUGUGAUCCUUUACUCCUAUUUGACUACAGACAAGCACCAAACUGCCAUCAUUAGAAACAUACAUGGUGUUGUAGUAAUAACAAAUAGACCAUAUGCGCAGAUAUAAGAAAUGCUGAACAAUUCUCCCAGGUAAAAGCCAUUCAUGCUGAUUAAUUUUUGUUUCGGUUGAGAAUCGGGCACCUUCUAGGUCAAGAAAAUUGGGCAUGACCUUUGCUAAUUUUCUUGACCUAGGAGUGCCCCAUUCUCAACCGAAACGGAAAUUAAUCAACAUUUCAGGAGAAAGGGGUAUUUGUCCCUGCAAACCAUAGUAGCAGGUAGCGGCAGCAACAGCAAAGUAGCGAUGACUCAAGCAGCAGGCCGGGAACACAAUAACAGUCCAUACUUGCAUGUAUGUAGAACAUAUUCAUAGUCGCCUCUACAGCAAUGCGGAGACACAGUCACUACUGGGCAGUAGCAGUAAAGGACAUGCUUUUUUCAGAGGGUUAAUCACAUCAUUGACAAUAGUAACUAACAAUUCAGUAGAUCCCACAGGACAGUAACUAACCAUGCACUAAUAAUCGCCUUCAAAACAGUAGAUCCCACAUGACACAAGACGUAAGCAACACAUACUAAAAUCUGAGAUAUAUACAGAAGUCGUGAUGCACAAUUUCAUCUAUAACGGAAAAUAAGAUACGAGUACAAUUUGUAUGCCAACCAUGACUGAAAAAUGUUACUAAAUGCAAAUCCAAUCAUCCAGCCAUGCUGUUCAUACCAUAGGAUGUCUAAUUAUUUGAAGAACUUGUCCUAUUUUGCAACUUAAAAUGGUGAGCACCCGAAGAUGCACAUUACCCAGCAGAAGUCGGCGUCGGAAAAAUUGUUUUAAAUUCGUAUUCUAACAUGCAACAAAUUGACCACAUCAAAUUGCCCACAUUCUAUCACUGACUAUUUGAGAAAUCAGUGUAUGUGCAACAAACAACAACAGAAAAACGGUAUCAAGGGAUGCUUCUAUUUGAUGUUAAGCAGAGAAUUUGAUGAAUGGACAAAAUUCAACUCCGUCCACCAAACAGCUAAAUGGGCUAAGUGUGAUAGCUGGUUGGUUGAUGUGUAGUGUUUGAAGAAACAAUCAGCUAGAUGUGCCUUAUCCUUAUCAUUAAAUUUUUUCUGCACCUCCGUUCUUCUAAUACUUUCCAGCUAGAUGUGCAGUGUUUGAAGAAGUAGUCCAAAGGUAAGAAAUUUACCUUGAAUACCCGCCGAGAGGAGCCCGAGGUCACCAUUGGCGAUGAGGCCGAUGACUCACCGGCGAAGCCCCCUCCUGGACUGCUCCUCCGAGGGGAAGCAAGAAGGGCUGGAGAUGGCCGCUGCUCCCUUGCCGACUGUGCCCUAGCGGUCUCUGAUCUGAGCCGGAGGAGAGCACCGGAGAGAUGAGUCGGGAGAGGAGGCGACAGCGGCGGAAGAGGUGGAGAAGGAAGAGGGGAGAGGAGGCGGAGCUCACCGGGGGAAGGUGGUCUCCACAGUGGUGGGCGACGAACGGGGGAAGGUGGUCGCCGUGGUGGUGGGCGGCGAAUGGGGGAAGGUGGUCGCCGC
rnacentral:lncRNA from 1 species